UAACGAAUAUUGGGCAAUGGGCGAAAGCCUGACCCAGCGACGCCGCGUGUAGGAUGAAGUCCCUCGGGAUGUAAACUACUGUCAGGGUGAAGAAAGGCGCAAGCUUGAUCUAACCCAGAGGAAGCAACGGCUAACUUCGUGCCAGCAGCCGCGGUAAUACGAAGGUUGCGAGCGUUGUUCGGAAUCACUGGGCUUAAGGCGCAUGUAGGCGGAUGAGUAAGCGUUUUGUGAAAUCCCCCGGCUUAACCGGGGAAUUGCUUGGCGAACUGCUCAUCUUGAGGCAAGCAGGGGUGCAUGGAACUCUUGGUGGAGCGGUGGAAUGCGUAGAUAUCAAGAGGAACGCCAAUGGUGAAAACAGUGCACUGGGCUUGUUCUGACGCUGAGAUGCGAAAGCGUGGGGAGCGAACG
rnacentral:rRNA from 1 species